ACAUACGCGGGGGUAGGAACAGAGGCGGACAGAUAUUGCAGCGAAAAAAAUCCUAGGGUUCUUCAUAACUCACUUAUUCUUGAACUCAGAAACGAUUGUUUGACGGGUAUAAAUUUGACUGGAGUCUACGUAUUGGCCCAAGGAGUAUUGAGGAACCGGAUUUGCAGGCGAACAGGUUACGAGUUAGGACUUCCUUCCCUUCCAGUGAUAUUGGUGAGCUCCGCUUUUGUUCGUGGAGUAUUCUUAGAGUCAUUUUCAUUUAGCUAUUUCUUUGUUUAUCUAGAGAACUGACCAGGAAAUCUCAUGUCCUGAGCAGUGCGUCAGUUUAUCAGUAGAGGCUUCAUAGACAUAGUAAUUGGGUUGAGAUUCAUAUGUUAUUUUAUAAUAACUUAGCAAUAAUUCAGUAGUUACGAUGAAUAAAGUUUUGGAGUUGAUUUAUUUAAAUAUUUCAAUUAAUCAAAAGUAUUUGGUUAGAGUAUUGCUUUGUUGCAUAUAAAGUGUGGAGCUAUAAUAGAUUGAAUAAGCAGAGAUGGUUCGCUCGAUCAGGUUUAGUGAUCGAGUGCCGGUCUCGACUUGUUUAUAAAAUGGGUCGUGACAAACUUGGUAUCAGAGCCUCAGGUUUAUGGAGUCCUAGGGGUCUAUAAAGCCAUGUUAGUAGAGUCUUGUUUAUGUGUAUGAAGCGCGCCAUACUUAUAAACAGGAGGCGACAAGCAUUUAGGA